CGUUGUCCGGAUUUACUGGGUGUAAAGGGUGCGCAGGCGGACUUGUAAGUCAGGGGUGAAAUCUCACAGCUUAACUGUGAAACUGCCUUUGAUACUGCAAGUCUUGGAUCCAGAAGAGAGUUGUGGAAUUCCGAGUGUAGCAGUGAAAUGUGUAGAUAUUCGGAAGAACACCAGUGGCGAAGGCAGCAACUUGGUCUGGUAUCGACGCUCAGGCACGAAAGCAUGGGGAUCAAACAGG
rnacentral:rRNA from 1 species